UUCAGACGUAAGGAGACCAUGCUAUGGAAUAGAUCGCGUUCUGUCAAUUCAGAGGACAGGAAUGAUCUGCAGCUGCAUUUGAACAUAUUUGGUGACCACAUCUCAAAGAUGACCAAGAGAGAGGAUCGAGCUAUGACUUUGCACAUCCCAUCGACUUCGGUGUUCACCAGUGCAAUUAUCAGAAGAGCCAGGCAAUUCUAGUAUUCAAGUAUUUCAUUCUGUAAUACUUACCUCAAAAUUUACUAAAUAAAGAAAACAGCAUGUGGCAGUUGGUUAAAAAAAUCAA